AGGCCUUGGAAUAGGCACGCCAGGGAUCUGCGGGAAUGGCUGUCUCCGGAGCUGGAAAGUGUUACGUGGCUGCAUGACCAUACACUUCUGGGUAGAGCCCAGUGGAAGACAAAGAAGACUCAAGGAAUAGCCCUUGAGGGCUCAGGAGCUAUACAGAUGGGAUAGAGGGUGUGAGUGCUGGGAAGCCCCAUCCAUGGCUCGCUGGAGAUUAGAGGCCUGUUAAUCUGAAGACAAAGGAAUGAAGACGAAAACGUUUCUGAAAAUGUGGGUGGAGACACCUGGGCCUUUACAGGGUACGCUCCAGAGCUGCUUCCAGGCAGGGACCCCGGCUGAGAGAAGCCAGAGCCAGAGAGUCGCAGGCUUGCUUGCUCUUAUCUUCCCUCUGCUGGGGGGGUCGAGGGGAGAUCUGGCCCCUCUGCUCUGCCCUCCUGAUUUCCCGUCUAAGGGAUUUAGGAGACUUUUGCCUUUUCCUAAUCUCUCCCUUUGCAGAAUUUCUGCGAAGUCACAAUCCCAUUUCCAGGCAAAGGUGCUUGGUCAUAAAGAUAAUAAAGAUAUUCAUUCAUGAUGGAGGGG
rnacentral:lncRNA from 1 species